CACAGGCCAGGAGUGCUCGCUCAGCAAACAUGUUAACACAAUUAUAAUGAAUAUUUAAAACAGCCAUGCUGCGAUUUGGCAACGGCUUUGGGAAAUGACAGGAGCACCUUGGGGAUUCGUCUAAUAUUAGAAAACGUGUUUUGAUGGUGACAGCAGGUGAUGCACUGAGCCAAAUUCCGGAGUCGAUUGUACCAGCGCAGCCUGACCAGGGCAACCGAGAGCAGUAGCUUUGGCCGUCAGCACUGCGCGUCUGCCAGAGAAGGAUCUGGGGGCAGAACAAGACCUCGGGGUGCUGCGCGGCUGGAAGUGCACGGUGCUGGCACGGUGCAGGUGGAAAUGUGGUGGACGGUGCCCUUUGUGCUCCUGCUGAGGCACAGAAAGAGAUUUGUUUGUCUGUGUGACCACUAAACGGUCUUGGCCAAAGAAAGUCAGAAUCUUUCCCAGAGUGGAGUUCAUAAGGACAGCUGCUGGCAGAAGACUGGCUGACUUCAGAGCCUCGUGACUGAAAUCAAAAAUCACUGGUGAGAGAACAGAAAAGUCUUGCAGAGUAAGGAAGGGUCAGCGAAGAGUGGAGAUGUCAAAUCAGGUCACUUAGGAGAGGGUCAAAGUGAAGGCAGAGAAAGACACCAGCAGAUGGACUCCCCUCCCACUCAUGUCUUGCCCUCCCCCAGGCUCCAAGCAGCUGGAAAGCAUUCCGCAUUUUCCUUGGCAAGAAAUCAGCAAGUGACCUGUGGUUAAGAUCUGGGAAAGCCUGUAUGGUUUGUUUGCCUGACCUUUUCCUUUCAGGAGC
rnacentral:lncRNA from 1 species